rnacentral:rRNA from 1 species
UACGGAAGGCAGCAGUGGGGAAUAUUGCACAAUGGGCGAAAGCCUGAUGCAGCUAUGCCGCGUGUAUGAAGAAGGCCUUAGGGUUGUAAAGUACUUUCAUCGGGGAGGAAAAAACAAAACUAAUAAUUUUAUUUCUUGACGUUACCCGAAAAAGAAGCACCGGCUAACUCCGUGCCAGCAGCCGCGGUAAUACGGAGGGUGCUAGCGUUAAUCAGAAUUACUGGGCGUAAAGAGCACGUAGGUGGUUUUUUUAAAGUCAGAUGUGAAAUCCCUGGGCUUAACCUAGGAACUGCAUUUUGAAACUGAAAUACUAGAGUAUCGUAGAGGGAGGUAGAAUUCUAGGUGUAGCGGUGAAAUGCGUAGAUAUCUGGAGGAAUACCUGUGGCGAAAGCGGCCUCCUAAACCGAAUACUGACACUGAGGUGCGAAAGCGUGGGGAGCAAACCAGGGAUUAGAUACCCGU